rnacentral:rRNA from 1 species
AGAAUCAACGCUGGCGGCGUGCCUAACACAUGCAAGUCGAACGAGAAAGUGGAGCAAUCCAUGAGUAAAGUGGCGCACGGGUGAGUAACACGUGACUAACCUACCCUUGAGUGGGGGAUAACCUAGAGAAAUCUGGGCUAAUACCGCAUAAUACCUUCGGGUCAAAGGAGCAAUUCGCUUAAGGAGGGGGUCGCGGCCGAUUAGUUAGUUGGCGGGGUAAUGGCCCACCAAGACUGUGAUCGGUAUCCGGCCUGAGAGGGCGCACGGACACACUGGAACUGAAACACGGUCCAGACUCCUACGGGAGGCAGCAGUGGGGAAUUUUGCGCAAUGGGGGAAACCCUGACGCAGCAACGCCGCGUGGAGGAUGAAGCCCCUUGGGGCGUAAACUCCUUUCGAUCGGGAAGAUAAUGACGGUACCGAGAGAAGAAGCCCCGGCUAACUUCGCGCCAGCAGCCGC